rnacentral:rRNA from 1 species
CAGCACGCGGGAAUACGAAGGGGGCUAGCGUUGUUCGGAUUUACUGGGCGUAAAGCGCACGUAGGCGGACUUUUAAGUCAGGGGUGAAAUCCCAGAGCUCAACUCUGGAACUGCCUUUGAUACUGGAAGUCUUGAGUAUGGUAGAGGUGAGUGGAAUUCCGAGUGUAGAGGUGAAAUUCGUAGAUAUUCGGAGGAACACCAGUGGCGAAGGCGGCUCACUGGACCAUUACUGACGCUGAGGUGCGAAAGCGUGGGGAGCAAACAGGAUUAGAUACCCCCGUAGUCCCUGUCUUUAUACACC